rnacentral:tRNA from 1 species
GGAGAUAGCUCCGUGGUAGAGUGCCUGCCUAGCAUGCACAAAGUCCUGGGUUUGAUCCCCAGUACCUCCA